ACUCAAAGGAAUUGACGGGGGCCCGCACAAGCGGUGGAGCAUGUGGUUUAAUUCGAAGCAACGCGAAGAACCUUACCAGGGCUUGACAUUUACCUGCAGUCAACUGGAAACAGAUGGCCUUCUUUCGGGACAGGUAAACAGGUGGUGCAUGGUUGUCGUCAGCUCGUGUCGUGAGAUGUUGGGUUAAGUCCCGCAACGAGCGCAACCCUUGUUCUUAGUUGCCAUCACGUUAUGGUGGGCACUCUAAGGAGACUGCCGGUGACAAACCGGAGGAAGGUGGGGACGACGUCAAAUCCUCAUGCCCCUUAUGUCCUGGGCUACACACGUGCUACAAUGGUCUGUACAACGGGUUGCGAGAGGGCGACCUUUAGCUAAUCCCUUAAAACAGGUCUCAGUUCGGAUUGUAGGCUGCAACUCGCCUACAUGAAGUCGGAAUCGCUAGUAAUCGCAGGUCAGCAUACUGCGGUGAAUACGUUCCCGGGCCUUGUACACACCGCCCGU
rnacentral:rRNA from 1 species